AUGAACGCUGGCGGCAUGCCUAAUACAUGCAAGUCGAACGAAGUCUUUAGGAAGCUUGCUUCCAAAGAGACUUAGUGGCGAACGGGUGAGUAACACGUAGGUAACCUGCCCAUGUGCCCGGGAUAACUGCUGGAAACGGUAGCUAAAACCGGAUAGGUAUGAGGGAGGCAUCUUCCUCAUAUUAAAGCACCUUCGGGUGUGAACAUGGAUGGACCUGCGGCGCAUUAGCUGGUUGGUGAGGUAACGGCCCACCAAGGCGAUGAUGCGUAGCCGACCUGAGAGGGUGAACGGCCACAUUGGGACUGAGACACGGCCCAAACUCCUACGGGAGGCAGCAGUAGGGAAUUUUCGUCAAUGGGGGGAACCCUGAACGAGCAAUGCCGCGUGUGUGAAGAAGGUCUUCGGAUCGUAAAGCACUGUUGUAAGUGAAGAAUGCCAUAUAGAGGAAAUGCUAUGUGGGUGACGGUAGCUUACCAGAAAGCCACGGCUAACUACGUGCCAGCAGCCGCGGUAAUACGUAGGUGGCAAGCGUUAUCCGGAAUCAUUGGGCGUAAAGGGUGCGUAGGUGGCACGAUAAGUCUGAAGUAAAAGGCAACAGCUCAACUGUUGUAUGCUUUGGAAACUGUCGAGCUAGAGUGCAGAAGAGGGCGAUGGAAUUCCAUGUGUAGCGGUAAAAUGCGUAGAUAUAUGGAGGAACACCAGUGGCGAAGGCGGUCGCCUGGUCUGUAACUGACACUGAUGCACGAAAGCGUGGGGAGCAAAUAGGAUUAGAUACCCUAGUAGUCCACGCCGUAAACGAUGAGAACUAAGUGUUGGAGAGAUUCAGUGCUGCAGUUAACGCAAUAAGUUCUCCGCCUGGGGAGUAUGCACGCAAGUGUGAAACUCAAAGGAAUUGACGGGGGCCCGCACAAGCGGUGGAGUAUGUGGUUUAAUUCGAAGCAACGCGAAGAACCUUACCAAAUCUUGACAUCCCUCUGACCGGUCUUUAAUCGGACCUUCUCUUCGGAGCAGAGGUGACAGGUGGUGCAUGGUUGUCGUCAGCUCGUGUCGUGAGAUGUUGGGUUAAGUCCCGCAACGAGCGCAACCCUUGUCUUCUGUUACCAGCAUUAAGUUGGGGACUCAGGAGAGACUGCCGGUGACAAACCGGAGGAAGGUGGGGAUGACGUCAAAUCAUCAUGCCCCUUAUGGCCUGGGCUACACACGUACUACAAUGGCGCCUACAAAGAGCAGCGACACCGCGAGGUGGAGCGAAUCUCAUAAAGGGCGUCUCAGUUCGGAUUGAAGUCUGCAACUCGACUUCAUGAAGUCGGAAUCGCUAGUAAUCGCAGAUCAGCAUGCUGCGGUGAAUACGUUCUCGGGCCUUGUACACACCGCCCGUCAAACCAUGGGAGUUGGUAAUACCCGAAGCCGGUGGCAUAACCGCAAGGAGUGAGCCGUCGAAGGUAGGACCGAUGACUGGGGUU
rnacentral:rRNA from 1 species